GCGCCUGCAGGCGGUCAGGUAAGUCGGUUGUGAAAGCCCCGUGCUCAACGCGGGGAGGCCAAGCGAUACUGCGUGACUUGAGGGCGGAAGAGGGGAGUGGAAUUCCCGGUGUAGCGGUAAAAUGCGCAGAUAUCGGGAGGAACACCAGUGGCGAAGGCGGCUCCCUGGACCGCACCUGACGCUCAGAGGCGAAAGCUAGGGGAGCGAACAGGAUUAGAGACCCUGGUAGUCCUAGCCCUAAACGCUGGAUGCUAGGUGUAGGGCUGAUGAGGCUCUGUGCCGGAGCGAACGCGAUAAGCAUCCCGCCUGGGAACUACGGCCGCAAGGCUAAAACUCAAACGAAUUGACGGGGACCCGCACAAGCAGCGGAGCGUGUGGUUUAAUUCGAUGCUACACGAAGAACCUUACCUGGGUUUGACAUGCUGGUGGUACCGAACCGAAAGGGGAGGGACCCUUCGGGGAGCCAACACAGGUGCUGCAUGGCUGUCGUCAGCUCGUGCCGUGAGGUGUCGGGUUAAGUCCCGUAACGAGCGCAACCCUUGCUCUUAGUUAUACGUGUCUAAGGGGACUGCCGGCGACAAGCCGGAGGAAGGUGGGGAUGACGUCAAGUCAGCAUGGCCUUGAUAUCCAGGGCUACACACACGCUACAAUGGCCGGUACAAAGGGCAGCCAAGCCGCGAGGUGGAGCGAAUCCCAGCAAAGCCGGUCCCAGUUCGGAU
rnacentral:rRNA from 1 species